rnacentral:lncRNA from 1 species
UAGUUUUCCAGGUAUCUACCAUCUCAAUGCAGCAGCAAGAAAAACUCAUCCACCAGGAAAGAGCAUUGUUGAACUUUACGCAAUGGAAGAGAAACCAUGACAUUCAGAUGAAAUAUUGUCAAACCUUGAUGCAAAACUCUUUCAGUUUGGGUAAUUGAUAAAGAUCAGUUGUUUUCAGUAGAAAUCCAAAUGCAUGCACUAACUCCUCAGAAAAAAACAAUGAUAUAUUUUAUUCUCUUCAAAAUUGUUCUUCAGAAUUUUAUAGUAGGGGGACAUGAUUUUGAUGCUUUUUACUCUUAUCUACUCCAAUAGUAUAGGGAAAACACUAAGUUUUCAAAAAGAAAAUGCAGCUAAACAACAGUUCUGGAAGUUUAAGUAUCUUUUCUCCUGUAAAACUGUGCCAGAUCUCUUGGUCAAAUUUUUGCUCUUUGUUCUACUUUAUGCAGUUGAUCUUCUUUUUGUGAAUACAUUCUUUCUUAAAACAAAUUCCUUCAAACAUUGAAUACUAAUGCUUACCUUUUAGUUAUGUCGAAGUCCUAAAAUAAGCAUACUGUUCAUUUACAUCCUUCUUCCAUUUUCUUCCCCUACAUGUUUUCAAAUCAUUACUGAAGUUGUACUGUUUGUUCUGUCUGCUAGACAUGAAAUAUUUCUUGCUUAACUCUCAGAAUCUGAACAUGAACUCAAGGCUUACUAUUCAAUUCAUCUAGUUAUUCAGUACACUUCAGGUUAAAUUUGAGCAGUAAGAUUAACAGGCCUGAGAUAAUAAGUGAACAAGAAAAGAUUGUAAAUAUUGUAAAUUCAAAGAAAGGAAAAGAUUGAUAAAACUGAGAAAAUCAUAUAAAUUUUUAUAGAAGAGGAAAUAUUUGGGUAAAAAUGUCUCCGAAUUACUUUUAAAUAAACCAACUCUUAGAGACCUAUUGUAGGUCAAAAGUAUUAUAUAAAUCUUACGGUUCUCAGUAUCAGAAAAACUGGAAUUGCUAAGUGCUACAUAUGGGAAUGACUAAGUGCUGCACAUGGUUAUAGUGUUUAGUUUUCCUGGAGGUGACAGAGGGUUAGUCUGGGGAGAUAUUCUACUAAUUUUUACAGUGGUGACAAUAAUGUGAAAUGUUUCUAUUCAAAGCCUGUAACUGCAGUCCUUGUUCGGACAACUGGAUUCAGAAUGGAAAGAGUUGUUACUAUGUCUCUGAUAUUUGGAAAAGUUGGCUAGCCAGCAAAGAGGCUUGUUUGAAAGAGGGCUCCAGUCUUCUACAAAUAGACAGCAAAGAAGAAAUGGUAAAUUCAGCUUUAUGGUUACAUGUCACUCUGAAAAUACUAUGUUACUUAUUAAAAGAAAGAAGAUUCUCCUAAGAUAGAAUUCUUUAAUGUUUUUAAUAGUUUAUAAAGUUCAUAAAAAUAAAUAUUUAUAAAAAUAAAUUUAUAAAAAUAAUUACUUAAAAGAUAUAAAGUAGGAAUUACUAUGCUUUAUUUUCCUUUUAAUGGGAGAAGCAAAAAUAAGGUUGCUUUUACAGAAGUCAAGGAGAGUAUAUUAGUUCUAUGUCCUUGGUUAAUGAAAAAGAAAAGACUAGACCACAAGAAAAACAGUCUUCCAUGACAUGUAGCCCACUUCAACAUACACAUACAUGAUUAUUGCAUAUAUUUUCCAAUGUAUUUCUCCAUGCUAUAGAGAAAUAGAAUAAUCUGGAAAACCAGAAGUAUAAAAAACUGAGGUGAUGUCAUGAAAUGAAUAGGUCUAAUAAAACCAAGUAUUUGGUAAAUGAAAUGUUAAGUUGAUAUUAAACAUAGUUCAGUAAUAUUUUAACAAGUGAACAAGAUAUUUCUCUAAAAUCAUUCUACACAUAAAUAUAUAUGAAACAGAAUGCAUAAUUACAACAUAUCUUUUACUACAUUAAAAACGUAUUCUGACUAUAUUUAGUAAUUAGUUGAAGCUCAUUUCUACAAGAAUAGUGAGAAAACAAUGUGUUAAGGAUAUAUGGUAAGCUAGGAAGGCUUGAACUAUUAUAAUUAUGGGUAUACAAAAUUAUUUGCUGUGUAAAUUUGAUGAUGAAAGUUAUAAAUGUUUUUUAACAAAAUAUAUUUGCAGUUACAUUGCUUCUGGAAUCUCCUAAACUAUUGGUAAUAUUGAAGUAUACUAGGAAAGAGUGAUCCACGUGUCAUAUGAUAUAAAAAAUCUUUUUACCUCUGCUUAUGAGGGGUCAGUAUAACCUACCCCCUUCCUUUUUUUUUUUUUUUUUUGUUGACAUCUAUUGUCAGACUCUGAAUCCAUUCAUUAAAAUUACUUUAAUAUCAAAUGCCUUUUUCCCAUUGUCUUUAAUACUACAUUGGUCAUACAGAAACAGAAGAAAAAUCUAUAAGAUGUAUCCCCACUUUUUUGUUUCAUUUUGUUUUUUUUAAAUAACCCCCUCUCUUUUUCUUCAGCACUAAAGUUACCAUUUAUUUCCAGCUAGGCAAAAUGUCAGAAUUCAUACUUCAUGAUAGUUUUAUUCAUGGUUUAUUUUUUUCUUGGUUCAUGUUCAGAUCUUCUCUCAUAGGUUUUUAUCACCAAAAACUUGCAGAAGCUCAAAGCAGGCUAUGCGUACUGGGUGGAAAUAUCUCAGGACGGACUUCAGGCACCUUUGCUUUGGCAAGAUGGCUCCUCUCCUUCUCCCGACCUGUAAGUCUCAGAGGAAAAUGUUGUGAGAAUAACUAGAAAGAUGAGGCAAUUCAAAGGUUAAUUUUAUUGUGCACACUGGAUUCCCUUCAGGAGACAUAUCAGCAUUUCAAUAUCACAGGCUCCUGAUUGAAAUUAAAGCUAAUGUUAUGAAGAGGUAGUUUCACAGCUUCUAAAUCUUCUUCUCAGCCCUCCAAACAUUAUCCUACAGAAAAUAAACCAAAAUAUGAGUGUCUAAAUGAGCAAUAUAACAUAAUUAUCAAGUGCAUUUUCUCUGUAUCACUUAAUGUUUAGAGCACUAAGGGAAACAGAUUGUAAUAAUUAUUAAGCAAUUAUCAUAUUGAACUUUUAAGAUAGAACUAGAGAGACUGGUGAGCAGAAUCAAGUACCCUACUACCUUGAGAAUUAAGAGUCAGGAGACAUAUACUAUCUACCACCUAUCUUUGUGUAUACAUGGCUUCCUUUUCUUCGUACACUGUUAAAAUUACAUUAACAUAUUUUUAUGGAGACAAAACUGCUGCUGCUGAAGGAGGAGGAUAAAACCACCACAGGAGGGUGCCAUAUUAAAACAAAAAGGCCUCUCUCAUGUGUUAACCUCAAAAGCAUCCUUGUCACACUCCCAUCUAACCUCAGAUAUGCUGACUUGCCUUUCCAGGUUACCAACAAAGGGACCCCAGUCAACCAACCAGCUCUGCAGAUUCCUCAAAGACAAUGUCCUUUUGUCAGAUAACUGUAACAACUGGAAAUAUUUUAUCUGUGAGAAGUGCUCAUUAAGAUGCUCUAUCUGAAAGAAUUUGCUCAAAAAGAUCUAUAACGCUGGUAUUUGAAACAGGCCAUUGAAAAACCUGCCACAAAAAGACUAAGAGCAAAUACAGAAGUACACCAGUGUAUGGGCUUUGAAACCAGCUUCCUAGAAAUCAACGCUUACUUUCAUAUUUUCACUUGGAAAUGUCUUCAACAAUUUGAAGAUUUCAGUUGACAUUGUUCAAAUUGCCAAUAACUUGAUUGGAAUUACAGAGGACCAGACACUGAUGCUCUAUGAACAAACAAGAACAUAAUUUCCUUCCCUCCCUCCCUCUUUCUCUUUUCUUCCUUCCCUUCCCUUCCCUUCUCCUCUCUUUUCCUCUCCUCUCCUCUCCUCUCCUCUCAAGGCCAUUGAGAAAAUAAAAUUUGUCUGUAAAUUGUCAGUGACUACUUGGAGAGAAUAUGUUUGAAAGUCAAUUAAUCCUCUUCAAAUAAAAUUAUCCUCUAUAUUCAAUCUCCUCUCCUCUCCUCUCCUCUCCUCUCCUCUCCUCUUCUCUCUCUCUUUCUCUCUCUCUCUUUCAGAUAGAACUAGGAGACUCCCCCCCCCUCUCUCUCUCUUCUUUUGUCCAGAGAAAGUAUAAAUAUCACGCAGAAAUCAAUAUGUGAUUGGAGGAGGUGGUCCAGUUAUAACUGAUUGAUUUUUUUAAAUAAAUAAAUAAAUGUAAAGCUUGCAGCCUGCCAAAUCUUCCUAUGCAUUUUCUAAGUUUUCAGGCAUUAUGUUGGAUUGACAGAGUAAAAGGAAAGAGAUAUGGAUUUCCAAAUUGGAAUUGAGGGGAAAAGGCUUUUCUCUGCAGUGUCACUGUUCUCUGUGUCAGGACUGCAGAGUUCCAUGGAGAAGUGAACCCCUAGAACUUGCCAGCAUCGGUUACCCAGUGAAGGAAAGCUGUGAGCUUCCUGACUCCCUCUGAGUACAUUCUCACCACUCACAAAUCGAAGGGCUCAUGUCUGAACCCCCCAGAUUAACAUACCAGUACUUUUAACUGUAUUUCUCAAUGCCCCAAAUUCUCCAUCAAAAAAUAAUAAUUGGAUUUACUUUUAAAAUUGUUGGAAGACUAAAUCAAAAAUAUAUGUAAAUUGUUGCGAAUGAUGUCCUAUAGAGUUGGAUACUGUAUCAGUGCUUGCUACUGUUAUCUGGAGUAAGCCACCAGCCACUUCUAGAUAUCAACCUCUAUGUGCAUGCUGGGCAAAACAGUCUAUUUUCCUGCUAAUGUUGCAGGGCCAUUGAGAAAAUAAAAUUUGUCUGUAAAUUGUCAGUAACUACUUG